UACAGAGGUCCCGAGCGUUGUUCGGAUUCAUUGGGCGUAAAGGGUGCGUAGGCGGCGCGGUAAGUCGGGUGUGAAAUCUCGGAGCUUAACUCCGAAACUGCAUUCGAUACUGCCGUGCUUGAGGACUGGAGAGGAGACUGGAAUUUACGGUGUAGCGGUGAAAUGCGUAGAUAUCGUAAGGAAGACCAGUGGCGAAGGCGGGUCUCUGGACAGUUCCUGACGCUGAGGCGCGAAAGCUAGGGGAGCGAACGGG
rnacentral:rRNA from 1 species